AAAAUACUUUUUAGAACGCGUUUUUAGUUUCAAGUAAACAGUGCUCAACCAAUUUAAUUAUUUUUCAUAAUUGUACUCAAAUUAUUUGAUCUGCUCUGCAUGACGUCACGGUCACGUACAUACGUGCUCUCACCUGAAGGAGAGUCCGCCAUGUUUGCUCUCGCAUCGAGUCAGUAAGAAUGAGCCAGACACGCAGAGUGAACUUUACAACUUUACAACAAUUUGGACACAACAAGGAGAUAUUGUUUAGUUCAUGGAGCAAAUCGCAGACUUUUGAAGGGACUUUUGUUCGGACAUGCAGGAGUUUUCUGUCUCUACUCUGCUGAAUGCACUGACUGCUGUAGCAUUGUUGCUAUCUUUGAGCUAAUCUGGCUUAAACACAAGCAACUUGGUUAUAUCUGGAGUACGCAAUCUGACCACCUUUUCCCUGAGAUGUAAAGAGGUCAUCAAUGAUGACUUGCCUGUUGGAGACAUCCUGGAGUGCUGGCCUGCCCUAAAGAUGGAGUCACCGAUCUGUGCAAAGUUUCACAGCAUUACAAACAUCAACCUGAAAAACCACUUCUAUGCUGAGUUAGACAGACUUGUCUUGAGGGUUUGUUCUGGAAAGCUGCACGCACAGGGAAGGUAUCCGAAGUCCUGGAUCAGCUCUUCCACACUUAUGACCUCCAG